UGCCACUCAGUUGGUAGAGCGUGAAACACUUAAUCUCAGGGUGAUGGGUUCAAGCCCCACGUUGGAAG